rnacentral:lncRNA from 1 species
UCAACCAAGAACAAGGCAGAGUGGAACGGAGGACAGUGCCUGGCAGAUAGAAAGCAGAUAUAAAGUCAAGUCUCGAGUCUGUUCCACAUGGCCGCAGAUAGUGUUCCAAACAGCAAAGACUCUAGAGAAGAAAAAUACCAUCAAGUCAUUUAGUCAGCUGGACGGCAGGACCGGGUGUCUUGGAAGUCCUAGCCCUGAGGAAGAUUUGAGGUUAUGCAGCUUUCAAGAGGAAGGUAUUUUGUAUUUCCUGGGGAAGCUGCCAUCCCAGGAACUGAGAGUGGAUCAGAAGUCUCCUCUUUCUGGCAGAAGGAGCACAGAGCAGCCAGGCGUGAGCUGUGAGAAGAUGAGGCAUCUGCAGAUGAAGUUCUGAUGCACCCACUCAUGGAGGCCAAGCUAUCCCUCCUGCAAGUCCUGCCCCGAUAAGGCUUCUCCCACCGGCUUCCCAUGGGCUUUCUGAGACUGUUUUCCAGAUGGGCUCAGGGGUCCCUCAAAUGAGGCAGCGUGGGGGAAAGACUGAAAGAACUCCGCAGGGUCACACAGAGUGCCUAGAGACCAAGGCACCAGCAUAAAGGCUACAUUUGUGAGGAGCAACAGAAAGACAGCCAAGCACUGAGGAGCAGGUGGAAGACCUGCUGGUCGUCUAACCUAUUGAUGACCCUCGAUGUGUUUAAAGAGGAAAAGAAGAUGCAUAUGAAGUCCCUGAGGAUCCUGGGAAAAAGUUGGAUGCUCUAGGAGUGGCCAGAGAGAAUACAGGAUGCACUUGGAACAUUUUGUACCAGAAAGCAAAAGAGAACCCCAAGAUUGAUAGAGCCAUGGCCAAAAGACCUACAUAGGAGCCAAUUCAAACUGCUCACACUGGCCAGACCUGGUGACCUGCGCAUCAAAAGCUAUGAUACUGACAGGGGAUGGGGAAGGGGCCCAAAGCUGCAUCAUUCAGUAAUAAUGUUCAUGAAAGAACAGAGGGCUAAGGAAAGUGUUUCUUUACAAGAAUUCUAGGUGAUACAUACAGAGUGGUUCUAUAAUACAAAACCUUAAUUUUCUAACCCACAGUAUUAUCAUUGGCAUAAGCAGGAGUCGUUAAUAGACGAUAGAGUCAGUAGGUGAAGAUUAAAAAGAUGUCUAUACAGGGACAGAGUGUUGCCCCACAAACUGCUUAUUAAUUAAAAGUGGAAAGUAUA